AGGUCUUCGGAUUGUAAAAUUCUGUGGUAAGAGAAGAAAGAUAUAAAGAGGAAAUGCUUUGUAUUUGACGGUAUCUUGCUAGAAAGCCACGGCUAACUACGUGCCAGCAGCCGCGGUAAUACGUAGGUGGCAAGCGUUAUCCGGAAUUACUGGGCGUAAAGAGUGAGCAGGCGGUUAGAUAAGUCUAUGGUUAAAUGCAACAGCUCAACUGUUGUUCGCUAUAGAAACUAUUUAACUAGAGUGCGGGAGAGGUAAGUGGAACUCCAUAUGUAGCGGUGGAAUGCUUAGAUAUAUGGAAGAACACCAGAGGCGAAGGCGGCUUACCAGUCCGUAACUGACGCUCAGUCACGAAAGCGUGGGGAGCAAAUAGGAUUAGAUAUCCUAGUAGUCCACGCCGUAAACGAUGAGAACCUGAUGCAGGAGAUAUUCUGUGUCGAAGCUAACGCGUUAAGUUCUCCGCCUGGGUACUACGUUCGCAAGAAUAAAACUUAAAGGAAUUGACGGGCGCCCGCACAAGCAGUGGAGCAUGGGGUUUAAUUCGUCGAUACACGAAAAACCUUACCAGGGCUUGACAUCCCGCUAAAAGCCUUAGAAAUAAGGAAAUAGUUAUAGCGGUGACAGGUGGUGCAUGGUUGUCGUCAGCUCGUGCCGUGAGGUGUUAGGUUAAGUCCUCAAACGAGCGCAACCCUUGUCUUUAGUUGCCAUUAUUAAUUUAGGAACUCUAGAGAGACUGCCGGCGCAAGCCGGAGGAAGGCGGGGAUGACGUCAAAUCAUCAUGCCCUUUAUGCCCUGGGCCACACCCGUGCUACAAUGGUCGGUACAAAGAGAAGCAACACUGUGAGGUGAAGCAAAUCCCAUAAAGCCGAUCUCAAUUCGGAUUGAAGUCUGCAACUCGACUUCAUGAAGCUGGAAUUGCUAGUAAUCGCAGAUCAGCAACGCUGCGGUGAAUACGUUCUCGGGCGUUGUACACACUGCCCGUCACACCAUGAGAGCCGGUAAUACUCGAAGUCGUUAGCCUAACCGUAAGGAGGGCGGCGCCUAAGGUAGGACUGGUGAUUGGGGUUAAGUCGUAACAAGGUAUCCCUACGAGAACGUGGGGAUG
rnacentral:rRNA from 1 species